UUGAAUUUAAAGCGUCUUUUUUGGUCACGGUGUACAAGGUCAAGGUUAACAGAGAGCCAUACAUUAUCAUUACCACAAAAAGAAAUUCCUGCAGGUGGGAUGUUAGGAGUGCGGGAUUUUACGCAACAGAAGAGAAUGAACGUUAAUUGGAGCGAAUCCCACGUUUAGUCCUCUCCAGAAUAAAGGAGUUGACUUCCGGUAAGUUCGAACCGCUUUGGCGGGUGACAAAAUGCCUUUUUUAGUAGCCAAGUCAAACCUGGGGGCUUAUAAAUAUCGAUAGUUUACGUGGAUAGCAUUCAAACACUACAAAUCAUCUGGGUAGCGAGACAGUCAAGAACUUCAUCCGGAAUCACCGAACAUCAAAAGAACAGCGACCACAGGAAAAAAAAAAAUGGAAAGUUUCUUGGACCCAAGAGUAGAAGAACUUCUGUCCAAAAAAACAGACACGCAGCGAUUGCAAGCGAUUGCGUUUUCCAUCGCUUGUUUGUGUACCGGACCAACGCCAUUUCAACCUCCUGAUUAUUUUCAUAUUCCCCGAAACAAAGCGGAUACACAAGAGGAGAGCGGUGACGGGGAAAGUGAUUAAAUUAAAGAAAGCAAAAAGUCUGUAAAAUCCGAUCCUUACAUCCGGUUCAGAUGUUGCUCAACGACGUGCAGUGGACCGCGUGACCCGUGACUGAUGCUUGACAAUGAUUACGGCGUGACCAUUCACAUUGCCUCUCCGUGACGGUCAUUUCAAAUCUUGCUCUGCGAAAAAUUGCUUAACGGGUAAAGCGGCAAAUGAUAAAUGUGUAAUAAUUUAUUUCCUUGCUGGAAAAUCCUGCUCUGCAAAAUAUUGCUUAACGGGUAAAGCAGCAAAAAACAAUUUGUGCAUUUAUUCAAAUAUGUAAAAAGGUACAAAUAAUAAUCAUGUAUAAAUGUAAAAAGCUAGGAAAAUAUGUUUUUUUUUGGGGAUGGGAAUGCCACCUCUGUCAAACUAGACUCGAACAGACUACAAAUAAAAUAACAAAUGAAA